GACGAACGCUGGCGGCGUGCUUAACACAUGCAAGUCGAACGGACAGGCCCUGCUUUUGUUGCUUUCUCGAGUGGCGAACGGGUGAGUAACACGUGAGUAACCUGCCCUUGACUUUGUGAUAACUUCAGGAAACUCGGGCUCAUACCGGAUAUGAGCUCCUGCUGCAUGGUGUUGGUUGGAAAGUUUCGGCGGUUGUGUAUGGACUCGCGGCUUAUCCGCUUGUUUGUGUGGUAGUGGCUUACCAAGGCUUUGACGGGUAGCGGGCCUGAGCGGGUGACAGGCGACACAGAGACUGAGAGAAGGCAGAGAUAGCGAAGGGAGGCAGAAGGGGGGAAGAUUGAAGAAUGGGCGGAAGCUGAAUGAAGAAACGCUGCGUGCGGUAAGACGGUCUUAGGAGUGUAAAACGAAUGUGCAAGUGACGAAGCGUGAGUGAAGGGAAUGGGAAAAGAAGGACAGGGUUAAUAAGGG
rnacentral:rRNA from 1 species